GUGCCAUCUGAGAAAGGCACAAUGAGAUCUAGUGCUUGGAAGCAGAAAUGAAGCAUAUUCAGACUGAAAAACAAGUUUGUUUUUCCUCUGUGGGAGGAAUCAGCUGUUGGAACAACUUGUCCAAGGAGAUCCAAUGCAGACUUGCUACAAAAUUGGCAGGCUCAUGAACAAACUGCCCUCGCACAGCAGUAACCUCUUGCUCGUCAGUAUGAAGUGCACACCCAUGCAGACGCUCCAUUUAAAUAUUAGAGAUGUUUAGAGAUUGCUGGAAAGGACAGAAUUUGUGACAUACUUUCUCUGGACUUAAACUCUUAAACAAUAAACACUCACGUGGUAAGCCUUUCUAUGGGAGCCUUCUCCAAAAGAAGGCAUUUUGCAGGUCACUGGGAAAUGGAGAGUCAACAGGAAGAUGAACAGAUGCCUGCUGGGAUAAAAAGCCUGCCACGUUUUUUGCUCUGAAACUUUCAAGUGUUCCCGUAUGCUUGCCACCUGGCUGUGCUUGAAGGUCAUCUGUUUGCAGGAAGACAGCAGAUGAUGUGGAAAUCGGUACUGAUACCCUGAGGAUCCUGCUUUAUUCUCACUGCUCUUUUGGCGGUGGCAGCAGAGAGCGGUGGUGGAGAGAUACAGUCUUAGUCUCUUCACAAGCAGAAUUUUGGCUGGCAGCAGUACAGAGGUUUCCAGUAUCAGGACUGUCCAGCGUCUGUCACAGCAAGCCCUUUAGACUCUUUUGAUGGCAGAGAACAAGGCCUUCGGUUACUUUAUAGAAUUUAAGGUAUGGUUUUCAAGCUGUUGAAGAGAGGAGAAGGGGGAAGGGAGAGGCAGAGGCAGACUCGCCCUGGGAAGCGGUGUACCACAGGAGAUAAAUGGCUCCUGCUGCAGCCAGAUAAAGGAUGCAAGUAACUAUGUGAGAACAAAAUAUAGAAGGAGAGAUGGAAAACGUGAGUGUGGCCAGGGCUGGUGACAGCAUUGUUCUCUGACACCUUGCCAAAAGCAGCAUUCCCACAGAGAAAACAUUUUCCACCCCAGUGGGUAGCUGUCAGAGAAUACAGCAGUUGCAUCCCACCACCUUUCUGGAAGGAAGACGUCUCUGAUUAUAUU